rfam:Streptococcus gallolyticus strain ICDDRB-NRC-S1, complete genome.
UGAGAAAAGCAGAAGUGAGAACUUCUCGCCUUGCGACUAAGGUUGUCUGGCCCAACAUGUCAAAGAUUCCUCCGGGAAUACUAUGUAUGUACGGGCUUGGUUUGUCAAGCCCGUUUUUGUUUUUCUCU